rnacentral:lncRNA from 1 species
GGAAAGUCCUGAUGCUGGGCUGAUGAGCCUGCCACUCCCUUAGCUCACCUCUGCCUGCAUCUCUUUCCCACUGAUGGUCUUCCUCUGGGGCAGCUGAAACCCUGCGUCCUGUCCCUGAGCUGCCUGGAGAGGAUGGCUGACGCCACAUCAGUUACCUUCCAUUGCUGCAAGAAGAUGCCCGAGGAAGCUGACAAGGAAGUCCAGGUCUCUCUCCAUCAGAGCCGAUGAGAAGUUCAGACCUCACACACCGCUGUUCAUGUGCUAGGACCAUCUUCUACCCAUGGCGCUCCUGGCUACCUCUGGAAUGAUUGAUCUUGUCCCCAGUCACCUGCCACACUUCCAGACACCGCUUGGCAUCACCGAGAAUGAGCUAAGAUGCUCAGAAGAAUGUCAUUUUGCUCUGGGCAAAGGUUGGUUUAUUGUCUAUGCAGGUAAGAUGCAUGUGCAGUGGAGAUGACAGGGAAAGAAAGGCUCAGGGCACAGAUUUUGGCAGGCAGAGACCAGGUACUAAGGAGUUCACUCAAAGUCAGUCACUUUUCCCAGUGACUCCCAUCUCUACACUACGUGUGUGCCACAACUGACCCCUUUCUGUCUGGAUCCUUCCCAGAAAUAAAACACUGCCAAAUGCUUCCCUAUCAUUGGCUAUUUUUAUUGUUCCUCCCCUGUCAAAAGGACUAAAAACAAUAAAACCAAGAACUCACACCUGUCACUCCUGGUAACUCUUCUGCCCCACCCCCAAUCAGCUACUCACACCUGCCACUCCUGGUCACUCUCCUGCCCUACAUCCAAUCAGCUACUUACACCUGCCACUCCUGGUAAGUC